GUUGUGGUCUAGAAAGCAUAUUGUGAUUUGUACAAGAAGCACAUUCCCAUUUUACAAAAGUACAAAAGCACAUUUUGGACUUUUAACAAAUUCAACUGUUUUGUGUUCUGUAACGCAAAAGAUUCUUCAAAAUCAAACUGUGUCCGGAAUUGGUGGGUUCUUGGUCUCACUGACUUCAAGAAUGAAGCCACGGACCCUGGCGGUGAGUGUUACAGCUCUUAAGGUGGCGUUUCUGGAGUCUGUCCCUUCUGAUGUUCAGAUGUGUUCGGAGUUUCUUCCUUCUGGUGGGUUCGUGGUCUCGCUGGCUCAGGAGUGAAGCUGCAGAUCUUCACGGUUGCUAGUAACACAAUAAUAAAGCUGCUUUAUUUUCCAGUGAAGAUGUAUGUGAUAGGGAGUGGAGGAAGAAAAAGGCCAGAAAAUUCCAUAGUUAGCAAAUAUACCUUUCUUACUUAAAAUUCUUUUUCCAAUGUGAGCCUUCUAAAGAGUUACUGAGAAAUUAGGUGAGCUCACCUCAUUUAAUGCAAUAGAUAUGUUUCUGAAAAAUAAGCAAUACAUAGGACAUUGGCCAAUUAAGAAUUCUGAUGAAGAAGAAUUUUCACAUCCGAAAGAGUAAAAAUGAAAAACGGUACAAAUGUAGUGGCUUUUAAAUUUCAAAACAAAUUAUUUUGAUAAGAUAAAUAUUCCUCUCAUAAAGUGAAAAUGGAAGAGACUGCUUGCUGGGUGUUCGUCAAAAUGGAGUUAGAUGGUCUGUCCCAGACUCCCCUGUUGUUAGUUCUGAGAACAGAAGUAAUGGUGCUUCUUCAGGACUGGCUCAUAGAAACCUGCCGUGUUCAGCCCCCACAAUCCUCUCCCUUCUGCUGGCUGGAAACAAAUGACAACGAAGCCUCACGUCUUGGAGAAACCACACUGCUGAGGAACUCAAGUCCUAGAAGAACCAUUUGAAGAGACCCAUCUCACUAAAGAAAAUCACACAAGCAAGAAGUAAACUUCAUUGUAUCUAUGUAUUUAAUUGUCAUAACAGUCUACCUUAACUGAUACAGCAAAAAUUCGCUCCUUUUCUGGACACCCAGUUUCAAAAUCUCAGUGUCAUUUUUUACUUCUCUCUUUUCAGGUUGUUUAAUAUAAUAAAAUUUGUGUGUGUGUGUGUGUGUGUGUGACAAGGUCUUGCUCUGUUGCCCAGGCUGGAGUGCAAUGGCACGCUCCCAGCCCACUACAGCCUUGACCUCCAAGCUCAAGUGUUCCUCCCACCUCAGCCUCCAGAGUAACUGGGACUACAGGCAUGGGCCACCACACCCGGCUAAUUUUUGUACUUUUUGUAGAGACAGGGUUUCACCAUGUUGCCCAGGCUGGUCUUGAACCCCUGGGCUCAAGCGAUCUGCCCAUCUCCACCUCCCAAAAUUCUAGGAUUACAGGCGUGAGCCACUACACCCAACCAUUUUAUUUUUAAAAGUUUUCUUUGCAAUAUUGCUCACAUUGUUUCCUUCCUUUUUAUUCUUAUUGUCACUCCCAAGUUCAGGCUUUUACCUCUUUUAUUUGAAGUAUUAAAGUAUACUUCUAAGUCAUUUCUGUGGCUUAAAUUUAUUUAAUCCACUCCAUCCUGCAUCCUACCAACACAAUAACAUUGUUUCAUCAUUUCAAAUUGAAAUCGAAACUCUCCAAAGCUUUCCUACUGCUGAAUGGAUAAAAACACAAAAUCCUCAAUAGAGAAUUCACUUUCUGGAGCCAACUUACCUUUCCAAAUAUUUCCCAUUAUUCCCUAAGAGAAUCCUCCUGACAUACUCACUGUUUUUCAUAUACACUAGACCUUUUCUCAACCACCUAUUUGUCCACACAUUUUUCUUCCAGCUAGAAUAUUAUUUUCCCUUUCUCACUUCUGAAAGUCUUACCUGUCAUUCAUGGUUCAUCUCAAGCUCAAUCUUCUCCUUGAAACCUUUAAGCAUACCCUCCUGGAAAGUUAUCUCCCUCACCUCGAACCACCCCCCCAGCCCCUGCCAGAAUCUCCUAUAGGGCUGAUUGUUUAUCCUGCUUAUUAUAUAUUUAUAAAACACUCCACUGAGUUAUUAAUUACCUUUUCCUUGACUGUGAAAACAUGACUCUGGCUUCAAGGUAGGACCAUUUUUUCUCUAACACUGUGUCUCAUACACUUCAGCACAAGCUCUUAGUGGCCUGUGCAUUCAACUCCCAUGCAUAGCCACUUCCUCCAGGCAAACCCCACAGCCAGCAUCCAAAUUUUAAAAGGGGUUCUGUCAUCAACCCAAAGUUUCUUCUCUCUCAAGGAACCUAGAUUUAGAAGUUGAGUCUAGGCCACCUGUCUAAGAUACAGUAGUUAAUUUAACAUAUUUUAUUGCUCUCAACAUCACAGAGAAAGAGCCUUACUGCAGAUCUCAUUCUUUCCUUCAAAGCCAGUUUGCCCAUUCCUCUUCAGAAACCUUUAAGAGUGGUUAUUGGGAGAGAUGAUAAGACUCCAUCUGCUUAAGGAGUCCCUCUAACCCAGAAUAGUAGAUGUAAACACCUGACAUGUUGUUAUAGAGUGAAUGUUUGUGUUCCCCUCCAAUCCAUAUGUUGAAAUUCCAAGCCCCAAUGUGUUCGCAUUGGGAGGUGAGGCCUUUGGGAGGUAAAUAGAUCAUGAAGGUGAAGUCUUCAUGAAUGGAUUAGUGUCCUUAUAAAAGAGACCCCAGAGAGCUCUCUCAUCCUGUUUCUGCCAUGUGAGGACACAGCAAGAAGUUGGUCAUCUGCAACCUGAAGUGGCUCCUCCCCAGAAACUGAAUCUGCUGGGGUCUUAAUGGUGGGCUUCCCAGCCUCCAGAAUUAUGAGUGUAAAUGUUUGUUGUUUAAGCUACCCAGUCUAGGGUAGUUUGCUAUACUACCCCAAACUGACUAAGAUACAUAUGUUUGUCAUCCACUCAGUUGUUUUCCUAAAAUAAAUGAAGUCAGCUCCAAAGAUGAAUUUUCAUCUCUUUUUGUAGAGAUGGGUGCUAUUAUGCUUUUUAAUGAACGUUUAUUCACAAAUAAAAACAAAACAUACCUCUCACAUCCUCAGAGCAAAUACUUACAGUAACAUACAUUGAUGCUCACAAGCUCAUUACAUUUCAUGUUUACUAUUCAUUGAUAACAUUACAUUUAUUAUUAUCACAUAAACCAUACCUCCUGUUUAUGAAGCACUUAUGGUGUUUUAGUCAAUGUUAUGGUACCUGCUAUAUAUGGUCUCUAAUUUUAUUUUAACUUCCUAUAGUAAACAAUAUUAGGUGCUAACUCAAUAGUCAUUUUCUAACCUGAUUUUUCCUUGCAAACAGAACCCCAAAUUUGUUUGGAGAGAAAUGUGUCCAAAUCCAAACAAAGCAUCACCAUUUCUUUGAACCAUCAUAAGGAUCUAAUCAUUUUUUUUGUUUUCCUAGCCUCCCUCUAGCCAGAGAUACUGGGUAACACAGUUCUGGCUGAGAAGACAAGAGAAGAAAUCUGCUAAGCAUUUCUGGAAAAAGUUUUGAUUUGCUGAUGAAAGGGAACAGACAUACUGGUUGCCUUCCUUUUCCCUUUCAGCUGCCUAGUCGCCAUUUUGCAAUGUGAAACAACAUCAUUAAGGAAAGAUCAAAACAAUUGCAGAGAUGUCAACCAUCAUGCCUUUGAAUUCAUGCUCACAGUUGUCUGCCUCCAGAUUCAGUUAUAUUUGAGGUACUCUUUGAGUUAAGAUCCUUCUCAUUUUAUACCACUUGCAGCUGAACACACUCCCCACUAAUUUACCUUGUAAGGUGAAUUUCACUUAAAGGAAGAACACAUAAGUCAGGGAAUGACACAUAAUAGUAAAUGCAGGGUUUUUUUUUCUAUUUAUGAUAUAGAUUUAUACAACUGCUAUGUUCUUGACAUUGUACCAAUUUCAAGGUACAAAUAAGACAUAAUCCCUAAAAGCAUGGGUUACAAAAUCUGGGUUCAGCAUAGGGUUUCAUGAUAAACAAACAAACACAAAUUGUUUUUUAUUGUAUUUCCUUCUUCUUCACAUCUUGUGAAUCUAAGAAAAAUAUCAGAAUGUUCGUUUCAGCUCAAUUUUUGAAGAGUACAAUCUCUAAGUAAAAAGAAACUGUAAAUGUUUAUAAAUGUAACUAGAGCCUAGUAGAAAAUAAAGCCAUGCAAGUGUGUUUAGGUCCUAAUCUUAUUAACCAGAUUAGUGACACACAGUCUGCCCAAAGUUAAUGAAAGCAGUGAGGUUCUUUGACUUCAGUAGAUACACACCUGAACCACAGAGAUAAACUUGCUUCAAACCUGUGCGAUAUGUUUUUCUAAGCAUAAAAUUGAGCAUGAUAGCUCCAAUUUCAGUCUCAGUUUCAAAGCUUCCCUUUCCCGAAUAAGAGGCAAACUGUCACAUUAAAUUUAGCGAAUUAAAAUCAGUUAACUUGAAAAGCUCUUGGCCCCAAUGCAGAGAAAAUUGUUUGCAUAAUAAUAACUUAUUUCCUUUUUUAAAAGGCGGACUUCUGCCUGAAUGCUUCUAUAAACUUUUAAGAAAAUGGGAUUCUCAAAUCUCAAGCGUAUUGGGUUGCAGUUGGCACUUGAAGCUGGGGACAUGCAGAGCUGGCUAAUGUCAGCAGCUGUAGGACUGUCAAGAAAAAUAGGUGGAAGGGACACUUUUAUUAUAAGUAGACUUGCAAGGCAUUCCAACUUUCAGCUGCUCAACCCAGUAUACCAAACACCUCUGACUACCUCAAGUGUGGCCUUGCUGAGUGCUUCCAUAUUUAGGGGUUAUUAGACAGGACUGAAGCAAGUGACCUCUAAUGAGGAAGCAAUCAGGGCAGGCUCUGACCCUCCUCAGAGGUACUGUAAUGAACUGGCCUUGGAAGGUCUUUGAUGCUGCCUUUGCAUACUGUAUAUGAGCUUUCUGCUCAGUCAUUUCCUCUGCGCUCUGGUAGCACAGCAUGAAGCCUGCUAUUAGAAAAAAGGUUUAUUGCUACCUUGCAAACAUUUAUUGGGUAAUAUCUAAAACAUGGUGUCAAGUUAUAGUAAUGCGCUGUUCUGGGAAACUUUUUGAGAAUUUUAGUGUUUCAGAAGAUGGUCCUUUGAGAAUUCUUCUGUUUCAGAAAUGAAAAGUGGUAGAUAUAUACGUGUGUGUGUAUAAUAUGCUCAUGUAUCCUCUGAUUACUUGCCAGAGAUGUACCAUUUUUCUUUCAAGGGAAACAUCUAUUCCUAAGAUAGAUUAUUCUUGAAAUUUUCAAAGAGUAUGCCUCAGAGAACAAAUAUACAAAUUUACCAUUUGUCUGCAGAUAUUAUUUGCCUGUGUUUAUGCUAGGUCACUGACACCACACACAUUUUAAUCCCCAAGGGAAUUUAUUUGGUGGUGUUAUCUACUCAACCAAGCUGAAGCUUAUCUAGUUCACAAGAAAAUAGUCAAUAUGAGCUCCAUGCAGACUUAUGCUGUUAAUGCAGAAGAGGGAAAGAGAAUUUACCUUUAACUGUUAUGAUGAAAAUGUGUACAAUGACACUUAACUAUGGCAUGCAAAUCCUCUUUUCCUCCCCCACAGGUAUCUGGAAAGUACCUUAUACAGCUAGGUGCUUAGAAAAUGUUUAUUGAUUAAAUAGAUGAUGAUUAACAGAUUAAUAAAAGGUGAAAGUUACUAUCUAUGCAUUUUUUUCCAGUUUGAUGUUCAAAAACUUACCAAUGGAUGGGGAGUUGCUUUUCAUAAACAAUUUAUAAAGCACUGUCCUGGAUGAAAUUGUAAAAAGGACGUGGUGUCAAAGAUGACUCAGUGGAGUUGAGGUGAAAAAUGUGUAAUGAGCAAAUCAUGGUAAUUGGGAUAUCCAUCACCUCAAACCCUUAUCAUGUCUUUGUGUUGAGGACAUUUCAAAUCUUCCCUUCCAGCUAUUUUGAAAUAUACAACAAAUUAUUGUUAAGUGUAGCCACCCUAGUGUGCUACUGUACACUAGGACUUACUUAUUCCUUCUAUCUAACUGUAUUUUUGAACCCAUGAACCAACAUCUCUUUGAUUUCCAGCCUGGGCUUUGGUGUCCCUUUUUUUGUGUGUUUUCAUAGGGCCCUAUAUUUAUAUUAUUUGGGCUCAACACAUUGCAAAACUGCAGAGGAGUUUACUAUUAUGCACAUUAUUAUUCUAUAUUCUGUCACUCUAAGAAACAAUAAGUGACCAUCUGAAGAGACCAUCUUCUAGCACCAAAAUAUUUAAAGAUGAUUAAGAAUAAGACAAGGGUCUCCUUAUUUACAAAAUGACAUAAUUGAAAGGACUAGAUUAUUAGCAACCCCUCUGGAAAAGGAUUACUCUUUUGGAUUUUAAUUACAUAACUAAUAUAUCAACUGAAGUGCUAUGCCCUGACGUGUGCUCCCCUCAGCUUCACGAUCCAUAUGUUGAAACCCAACCCCUUAAUGUGAUGGCAUUUGGAGAUGGGGCUUUGGAGAUAUUAGUUAGGUUUAGAUAAGGUCAUGAGAAUGGGGCUCUUAUGAUGAGAUGAGCACCUUCAUAAAAAGAGACACGAGGUAUUUCUCUUUUCUCUCUUCUCUCUCUCCCUCUUUCCCUCCCUCCCUCUCUCCUCCUUCUCUGUCUUCCUCCUUUAUGUGAGGACAUAGCCAGAAGGCAGCUGUGUCUGCAAGCCAGGAAGAAAGCCCUCACCAGGAAUCAACUAUAUCAGCACCUUGAUCUUGAACUUCUAUCCUUAGAACAGAGAGAAAAUGAAUUUCUAUUCUUGAAGCCACCCAGCCUACGGUAUUUUGUUAUGGCAGUCAAGCUGAAUAAGAUAUAUAUCUACACUGAGACCAUUAAAAGUAGUUCCUGAUUGGCAGAAAGGUUGUAUAUAUAAAUGGCUCAUUGAAAGUUCUCACUGCAUGGAUGAGAAAUCUCAGAUUGAGGUUCUUAAAUUUUGAAAAAUAGAAAUAAAGGAAUUAACGCAACAGUCUUCUAAUCUUUCUGCCUUCAGUUUUUGCUCCCUUUGACUAUUCUCUGUACACUGCAUCCAGAGGUUAUAUUUUGACAGGGAAAUUCAAAUGAUGUAUAUUAUUUUUCUACUCAAAAUCUCCCCACUGGCACCCUAUUGUCCUAAAGCAUAAACUGCUAUUGCAGUCAAUUCACCUGAAAUAAGCUCUCUUCCUGCCGCGUCUUUUACAUAGAUUGUUUACUCCUCUUGUGAUCCCAGUUCCCUGCUUCUCCCUCUCCUCCACACUUUUCAAUAAUUAAAUUAUACUCAGCGUUCAGAAUUCAGUCAGGAUAUCCUACCUUCUUUGGUCAGCCCCCCAGGGUUUUCUGAAAGCUGGGAAGAGGCCCUCUUCUGCAAUCCCCAUGCACUGUAGACACAUCCCCUUUAGGUCCCUAUGUUGUGAGUGACUGUUUUCUUGUCUGUCUCUGCCACUAUAUUAUGCACUCUUAGAAGGCAAGGACUACUUCUCUUCAUUGUAUACCUAGAACUUAACCCAAAAACUGGCAUGUGCAUGCACCCAAGUUUUCACUGAGAAAAUAAUUGCAUGAGUCACUUGCUUUCCAGGUCUUUCUGACUACUAUGAUGGUGAUGACUUGUAGUCACAACAUGAAAUUGGUUUCUGCCCCUGAGGAUUGUAUCUCUCUACUUUGCAUGACCCCUAGAUUUCAAUCCCUCUUUAUUCUCUCCUGAUCCUUGGGUUCCAGUAAUUCUCUGGGUUUCAAAUAUAAGCACAGUGUGAGGAGCUCUUCAUUCUUGACAGAACUUUCAGGCAAGAAAGAAAUAGAUUCCUGGGAAUAUCUAUAUUCCCUCUGGCCCUAUUCCUUACUCCCAAAACAUAAUAACCCUUUUCUUAGGUUUUUUCUCUCUACCUUUUUACUUCUUCCUUAUUCUCACGAUUACAUGAAUUAACUGCCUACAGAGUAUGAAUUCAGACUGAAUUAAUAUGUAUUUAUGUGACAUAAAAGAUCUCUUUCAGUACUUCUUAAUCUUACCAAAUGAUGCAUACUAUACAAUAAAAAAUUGCAAUUUUUUCAUUAGCUUUUUUUUUUUUUUUUGGUUUCUGGUAGGGUUUUCCUUUAGUGGUAUUUUAGCAAGUAAUACAAUCCAGUUAUUUUUAAAAGUAUAUUAGUAGAAACUCACCAGAAGUCAAUAUACUGGUCCAAGAAUAAUUAACUGAUUGACUUUAUUGUUUAUGAAACUUUGUAAUGUUCCUUUUGAUGUGAAUGCUUAUCUUAGGGGGAAAUGCACUUUUCAAAUAUAAAUGAUCAUGUUUAAACAAACUGCUUCUAGUUUCAAAUAUGGCACUGAAAAACAAAAUAAAAUAAACACUCAAUUUUUAUUUAAAAUGGUGGGCAAUUUACUUUCUUUUUUGUUUGGGAUCUGAUUCAAGAGCCUCAAUUCAGCUUAUUGCAGAACUAACUAAACUAAACCUCAAAGGAAAAAUUUUAAAAAUGAUUUUUAUAGCAAUGACAUCAUUAUAUAAAAUGUUGGCAUUUCAUAUUUUCCAAACAGAAACUUGGAAAUAACAGAAUACAAGUUAAAUAAAACAAAUUGAAACUAAUCCAAUUCUCUGUUUUUCUUUCCCUUUUUAAAAACCAAGCUUUUUAUUGCCAGCUUUUACUUUGCAUAAUAAUAUAUGAUGAAUUGUCCAAGAAAGACCCAGUGGGUACAUUUCUCUUAGAAAUAAGCCUCUCUAUGCAAUAGGAGGCCAAGUUCUAGGGCAACAUACUUAUAUAAUCAUGUAAGAUUUUCCUUAUUGCUAACAAUUGACCAACCUGGGCAUUUGUCAAAUAUGUAAACACAUGGAGGUCACUGGUCACCAGAGGAUUGAAAACACAAAUCACUCUAUUCAUAUCCAUCCCUAGUUCUAGAAAAACAAUACCAAAUUAAAGCAUAUAUCCUACUAGCAAUAGGACUAGCAAAAUUAUUUUGGUAUACCAGAGCUACAUGUUAUACAUUUUGCUACUUAUGGAUUUAAUUACUCAGGAUAAUUAUACACAUGGCUACAACUGUAAACUUUAUAAUAUUUUGCUGGCAUACCUUCCAAAAGAGUUUGAAAAGCUAUGAAUUUAAUUCUAUAUUUGCAUUUGACAUAUAAAGUAC
rnacentral:lncRNA from 1 species